rnacentral:rRNA from 1 species
GACGAACGCUGGCGGCGUGCUUAACACAUGCAAGUCGAGCGGUAAGGCCCUUUCGGGGGUACACGAGCGGCGAACGGGUGAGUAACACGUGGGUGACCUGCCCUCAGCUCUGGGAUAAGCCUGGGAAACCGGGUCUAAUACUGGAUAUGACUCCAUGACGCAUGUUGUGGGGUGGAAAGCCUUGUGCGGCUGAGGAUGGGCCCGCGGCCUAUCAGCUUGUUGGUGGGGUGANGGCCUACCAAGGCGACGACGGGUAGCCGGCCUGAGAGGGCGACCGGCCACACUGGGACUGAGACACGGCCCAGACUCCUACGGGAGGCGGGCAGUGGGGAAUCUUGCGCAAUGGGCGAAAGCCUGACGCAGCGACGCCGCGUGAGGGAUGACGGCCUGGUGUAAC